UCCAGACUCCUACGGGAGGCAGCAGUGAGGAAUAUUGGUCAAUGGGCGGAAGCCUGAACCAGCCAAGUCGCGUGAGGGAAUAAGGCCCUACGGGUCGUAAACCUCUUUUGCCGGGGAGCAAGGGCGGGGACGUGUCCCGGCCCGGAGAGUACCCGGAGAAAAAGCAUCGGCUAACUCCGUGCCAGCAGCCGCGGUAAUACGGAGGAUGCGAGCGUUAUCCGGAUUUAUUGGGUUUAAAGGGUGCGCAGGCGGUUUUUUAGGCCGGCGUCAACCCCCGGGGCCCCCCCCCCGGCCCGCCGUUGAAACUGGCAGUCUCGAGUUGGAGAGAAGUAUGCGGAAUGCGCGGUGUAGCGGUGAAAUGCAUAGAUAUCGCGCAGAACUCCGAUUGCGAAGGCAGCAUGCCGGCUCCACACUGACGCUGAGGCACGAAAGCGUGGGUAUCGAACAGGAUUAGAUACCCCCGUAUU
rnacentral:rRNA from 1 species